AUUGAACGCUGGCGGCAUGCCUUACACAUGCAAGUCGAACGGUAACGGGCCUUCGGGCGCCGACGAGUGGCGAACGGGUGAGUAAUGUAUCGGAACGUACCUUUCAGUGGGGGAUAACGUAGCGAAAGUUACGCUAAUACCGCAUAUUCUGUGAGCAGGAAAGCAGGGGAUCGCAAGACCUUGCGCUGAUUGAGCGGCCGAUAUCAGAUUAGCUAGUUGGUGAGGUAAAGGCUCACCAAGGCGACGAUCUGUAGCGGGUCUGAGAGGAUGAUCCGCCACACUGGAACUGAGACACGGUCCAGACUCCUACGGGAGGCAGCAGUGGGGAAUUUUGGACAAUGGGGGGCAACCCUGAUCCAGCCAUGCCGCGUGAGUGAAGAAGGCCUGGUUGUAAGACUCUUCGGUCCGGGAACGGAAAUACGU
rnacentral:rRNA from 1 species